rnacentral:rRNA from 1 species
CAGUAGCCGCGGGAAUACGAAGGGGGCUAGUGUUGUUCGGAUUUACUGGGCGUAAAGCGCACGUAGGCGGAUCGAUCAGUCAGGGGUGAAAUCCCAGAGCUCAACUCUGGAACUGCCUUUGAUACUGUCGAUCUGGAGUAUGGAAGAGGUGAGUGGAAUUCCGAGUGUAGAGGUGAAAUUCGUAGAUAUUCGGAGGAACACCAGUGGCGAAGGCGGCUCACUGGUCCAUUACUGACGCUGAGGUGCGAAAGCGUGGGGAGCAAACAGGAUUAGAUACCCCCGUAGUCCCUGUCUCUUAUCC